ensembl:miRNA Gm23063 predicted gene, 23063
UUCUCUGUCUUGUACUGCCAGUUAAGAAAAAUAAGAAUUCGGGCUGGAGAGAUGGGUCAGCCGUUAAAGGCUAGGCUCACAACCAAAAAUAUA